GACGAACGCUGGCGGCGUGCUUAACACAUGCAAGUCGAACGGAAAGGCCCUGCUUUUGUGGGGUGCUCGAGUGGCGAACGGGUGAGUAACACGUGAGUAACCUGCCCUUGACUUUGGGAUAACUUCUGGAAACUGGGGCUCAUACCGGAUAGGAGCUCCUGCUGCAUGGUGGGGGUUGGAAAGUUUCGGCGGUAGGGGAUGGACUCGCGGCUUAUGAGCUUGUUGGUGGGGUAGUGGCUUACCAAGGCUUUGACGGGUAGCCGGCCUGAGAGGGUGACCGGCCACAUUGGGACUGAGGUACGGACCAGACGGCUACGGGAGGCAGCAGUGGGGAAUAUUGCACAAUGGGCGGAAGCCUGAUGCAGCGACGCCGCGUGCGGGAUGACGGCCUUCGGGUUGUAAACCGCUUUCGCCUGUGACGAAGCGUGAGUGACGGUAAUGGGUAAAGAAGCACCGGCUAACUACGUG
rnacentral:rRNA from 1 species